GAUCAUGGCUCAGGAUGAACGCUAGCUACAGGCUUAACACAUGCAAGUCGAGGGGCAGCGGGAGCUUAGCUUGCUAAGUUUGCCGGCGACCGGCGCACGGGUGAGUAACACGUAUCCAACCUGGCCCAUACUCGGGUAUAGCCUCUCGAAAGGGAGAUUAAUCCCCGAUGUUGUUGUUUCACCGCAUGGUGUAUCAACCAAAGAAUUUCGGUAUGGGAUGGGGAUGCGUUCCAUUAGCUUGUUGGCGGGUAACGGCCCACCAAGGCGACGAUGGAUAGGGGUUCUGAGAGGAAGGUCCCCCACACUGGAACUGAGACACGGUCCAGACUCCUACGGGAGGCAGCAGUGAGGAAUAUUGGUCAAUGGGCGAGAGCCUGAACCAGCCAAGUAGCGUGAAGGAUGACUGCCCUACGGGUUGUAAACUUCUUUUGUUUGGGAAUAAAGUUCAGCACGUGUGCUGUUUUGUAUGUACCAUUCGAAUAAGCAUCGGCUAAUUCCGUG
rnacentral:rRNA from 1 species